rnacentral:rRNA from 1 species
GACGAACGCUGGCGGCGUGCUUAACACAUGCAAGUCGAACGGAAAGGCCUGCUUUCCCUUGUGGAUUGCGGGUACUCGAGUGGCGAACGGGUGAGUAACACGUGAGUGAUCUGCCCCCAACUUGGGUAUAAGCCUGGGAAACUGGGUCUAAUUCCCGAUAGGACUGCAGGGUGGUGCCUGUGGUGGAAAACGAUUUUCUAGUGGUUGGGGAUGAGCUCGCGGCCUAUCAGCUUGUUGGUGGGGUAAUGGCCUACCAAGGCGGCGACGGGUAGCCGGCCUGAGAGGGUGGACGGCCACAUUGGGACUGAGAUACGGCCCAGACUCCUACGGGAGGCAGCAGUGGGGAAUAUUGCACAAUGGGCGGAAGCCUGAUGCAGCGACGCCGCGUGGGGGAUGACGGCAUUCGGGUGGUAAACUCCUUUGGACCGCGAGGAAGAAACCUGGUUGGAAGGGUGGUGACGGUAGUGGUAGAAGAAGCACCGGCUAACUACGUG